UACAUAGGGCGCAAGCGUUAUUCGGAUUUAUUGGGCGUAAAGCAAGCGCAGGCGGACGAGUAAGUCCUGUGUUAAAAACAGCAGCUCAACUGUUGUUUGCGCCGAAUACUGCUCGUCUAGAAUACGGUAGAAAGUUUCGGAAUUGAAUAUGGAGCGGUGAAAUGUGUAGAUAUAUUCAAGAACACCAGAGGCGAAGGCGGAACCUUAGGCCGCUAUUGACGCUUAGGCUUGAAAGUGUGGGUAGCAAAUG
rnacentral:rRNA from 1 species